rnacentral:rRNA from 1 species
UACGUAGGGUGCGAGCGUUGUCCGGAAUUAUUGGGCGUAAAGGGCUCGUAGGCGGUUUGUCGCGUCGGGAGUGAAAACCCAGGGCUUAACCCUGGGCUGGCUUCCGAUACGGGCAGACUAGAGGUAUGCAGGGGAGAACGGAAUUCCUGGUGUAGCGGUGAAAUGCGCAGAUAUCAGGAGGAACACCGGUGGCGAAGGCGGUUCUCUGGGCAUUACCUGACGCUGAGGAGCGAAAGUGUGGGGAGCAAACGGG